rnacentral:lncRNA from 7 species
UUUGAUUUGCCAUCUGUUUCUCUUUCUCAGUUAAUUUGGUUAUUAGGGAGGCUGUAGCAGAUGUUAAGCCUCUGAGAAGAGCAAUCUGAGGGGGCAAAGAGAUUUUUGUGAAGGAACCUGAGUGCCCUUACCUGUGUGGUGUGGUUCUGGGAAGGCAACGAGGUCAAACCCAGGCUUUGCAAAAGUCAGACCUUGCUUAACUGCAAAGAUGAGGCCCAAUGGUUGUGCAUUAAGUUGGGCUGCUGCUGUUGGAGGAAUGUGGUCUGUGGAUCCAGCAAUAUGCAGGCAGUGCAGAGCUCCUGCCUGGGGCUGGUGGCCAUUCGCACAUGGGACGUCUUGAUUUGGUGUCAGGGGACCUGCAGCUGACUGAUGCUCUCAAGGGAUCCAUUUACAGUCAACUCUGCUAUGACUAACUGUGGACAUAGGGAUGAGACCUGACUGCUCGGAUCUGUAUCCAUAGUAAAACCCGUUACCCGCAGAACUUCAACACCUACCAUUAAUAAUUCUGAUGUUAAUCAGCAAAUAAAGGCAGAGCUGAAAAAGAAAGCUGACAAGCCAAACAGAAUUGAGGAAAAAAAAAAGCAUUGCUUUUUAGAAAGUGGGAGACAAAUGCUGAGACUUUACUUCUUAGGAAAAAAAGCUGUUGGUAAAGCUUUUACGACUGGCACUUUAAAUAUAGUUUGCUUAGAAUCUUUAGGCAGCUCUCACAUUUGUUGAUGCAAUGUUAAAUCCAAAUAUCCAUACAUUUUAAUAUUUUAAUAUAUUUCUAGUAAUGAACAAAGAGCACAGCUAUCUUUUUUUUCUUUCCUUUCAGCUAUAUAUAUUUGGGGACAAAAUCAGUCCUUUGAAUAUUUUAUAUUCUGUGGAGUUGUCAACAAGACAGCAUCAGACUGAGAAUCAAUUGCAGAAUGAACAGCUGUGCAAUACUUUUUUUAGUGAUUCAAAUAAAUUUACUCUCCAUGAAUUAAAAAAUAAUCUGUUUAUAAGUAGAGGAAGAGAAAGAAGAAUGAGAAAUUAAUGCCUUAAAAUCAGACUCCUCUAGGUUUAAUUUUUAGAUUGUUUUAAAUAUUGGUCCUUGCCCUUUCUGAAGUUAUUUCUACUAGCUGUUUUCCUAAGCCUGCUGUAAACUGCCAGUUUUCCUCUGUGUUAAUUAUUAAUAUGACCUGUUUAUGUACCAGUUAUCCAGCUAACCAUUAAUGUCUGUUUACUCAUUGAUGACCUUUGCUACUACAUGCCAGGCUCUUGGCCAGUAAAUGUCAACAUUUUUUAAUAACCUAAAAAUACUCUUCAUUGCUUAAGAUUAUCUACCUAUUUUUUUUUGUUGUUGUUGUUGUGAUGUGAAAAACAGAAAUUAAAUACCAAUUAAAAUUCACUUUCAUAAAAGGCCAUUUCAGCCAAGUGGCACAGUCAAAGUAAAAGAAAAAACCCAAAUAUUCUUUGCUUCUAGUCUUAUUUUGAAAUAAAUCACAAUGGGAAAAAAAUAUAGUUCUAUGAUGCUGGCAUAGUAAAAUGCUUUUAAAAAAGAAUUACCCCAAGUAAAUCUUCAGGAUUUCUUCUUCAAAUGGUCAGUAUUAACCUGAACACAAAUAGGAUCUCUCUUUAAGUAUUCUUCUAGCGGGUAAAGACUGCAUCGGGGACACAACUGAUUUAAAGCUGAAUAUGGUGACGCUAAUUUUAACCCAUGAUUACAAACUCUGUGUAUUUUUAAUUUUUGCUCAUGAAAAGUGCCUAAUUUAAAAAGACAAGCGGUAGCCCAUGAUGAGAAAGUAUCUGAGGCACUUCCCACUCAAAUUGAUGUGUAGGGUGGCCUCAUCCAAUCUGCCACUGAGAUAAGUAGAGCAGGCAGCUUUCGUCUUCCUUGGUCUACUGAUAUCCUUUUGUAAGAGGAGCCUUGAAAUAUUAUCUUUGUGAUUACAAUUUGCAGGCCUGAAAUUGGCUUCCUAUUGAAAUAUUUUCAAAUAUUAACAUCAUCUCAGCUAUAAGUAAUGGUAAUUGCAUUUACAAGGAUUGAAACUUUGAUAUAUAUGUAGGUAUAUGUUCACAUUUUCUUGUUCAUUGGAGUUCUAACUUCAGUAAAAAUUAGGUUUUUUUUUUUUUUUUUUUAGUUACAGCCUUGAACGCUUGCUGUGACUGUCACUUCAUGUUGAAUUUAUCAUACAGAAUGGAAGUAGUAGGGCUGAGGAACAAUCUGUCGUAAACUAUUGUAUCAUAAUCUCUGAAGGGGUUUGUUUUGGUCCUGGGUGGGACAUAAGCUUUCUAGAUCCCUCCUGCUGGCUGCACAGACCAUUUGGGCUCAGUAGUAUUGUUUCAAAGGGAUUUGGCUGGGCUGUAACACGUUUGCUUAAACACUGUGCUACUGUACAGAAUGGUUAUACAGUACUUCAAGCAUAUAAAUGCCUUUCAGGUUUUCUGUACUGAAUGAUAACUCACCUUGUCUUUCUCGGUGAGGUAGGUAAUAAAUAGAAAUCUGGACU